AGAGUUUGAUCAUGGCUCAGGACGAACGCUUGCGGCAUGCUUAAGCUAUGCAAGUCGAGCGGGGUCUAGUUUGAGUCUUCGGACGAUUACUAGACCUAGCGGCGAACGGGUGAGUAACACGUGAGUAACCUGCCCCGCUGUCCGGGAUAACAGCCCGAAAGGGCUGCUAAUACCGGAUACGAGGCCAGCCGCAAGGCUGGUUUGGAAAGGGGAAACCCGCAGCGAGAGGGGCUCGCGGCCUAUCAGCUAGUUGGUGAGGUAACGGCCCACCAAGGCGACGACGGGUAGCCGACCUGAGAGGGUGACCGGCCACACUGGGACUGAGACACGGCCCAGACGCUUUCGAGCGGCAGCAGUGAGGAAUUUUGGACAAUGAGCGACAGCUUGAUCCAGCUAUAUGGCGUGAGUGAUGAAGACUGUUUUGGUUGUAAAACUCUUUAAUCAAAUAUUAGAUUAUGACAAAAUUUGAAAAAUAAGUCCCGGCUAAUCUCGUGCCAGCAGCCGCGGUAAUUC
rnacentral:rRNA from 1 species